GUAGGGAAUAUUGGGCAAUGGAGGCAACUCUGACCCAGCCAUGCCGCGUGCAGGAUGACGGCCCUCUGGGUUGUAAACUGCUUUUAUACGGGAAGAAAAAAUACUACGUGUAGUAUACUGACGGUACCGUAAGAAUAAGGAUCGGCUAACUCCGUGCCAGCAGCCGCGGUAAUACGGAGGAUCCAAGCGUUGUCCGGAUUUAUUGGGUUUAAAGGGUGCGUAGGCGGAUCUUUAAGUCAGUGGUGAAAGCCUGCAGCUUAACUGUAGAAUUGGCAUUGAAAAUGAAGAUCUUGAAUGUGGUUAAAGUAGGCGGAAUGUAUCAUGUAGCGGUGAAAUGCUUAGAUAUGAUACAGAACACCGAUAGCGAAGGCAGCUUGCUGAACCAUUAUUGACGCUGAGGCACGAAAGCGUGGGGAGCGAACAGGAUUAGAAACCCGGGUAGUCC
rnacentral:rRNA from 1 species